UCGCCUGUUUAUCAAAAACAUUGUUAAGAAUUUUAAUAAUGCCUGCUCAAUGAAAAAAUUAAAUAGCCUAAAUAUGCUAAGGUAGCAUAAUAAUUUGCUUUAUAAUUGAAAGAUAGAAUGAACGGUAUUACUUAAAAAAUUAUUUUAUUUUUUAAUUGAAAUUUUAUAAAAUUGAAAAUUAUUUUAUUAAUUUUUUAGACGAUAAGACCCUAUGAAGCUUAUUUAACUUAACUUUUUAUUAUGUAACAAAAUUAAUUUUUUUGGGGAAAAAUUUUAUAUUNUUAUAAUUUUUANAGAAAAAUUUUGAUCUUAAAAAAAAUUUNGAAAAAGUUACUCUAGGGAUAACAGCAUAAUUUUUAUAAAAGUUCUUAUUAUAAUAAAAGUUUGUGACCUCGAUGUUNA
rnacentral:rRNA from 1 species